UACGGAGGGGGCUAGCGUUGUUCGGAAUUACUGGGCGUAAAGCGCACGUAGGCGGCUUUGUAAGUUAGAGGUGAAAGCCCGGAGCUCAACUCCGGAAUUGCCCUUAAGACUGCAUCGCUCGAAUCAUGGAGAGGUGAGUGGAAUUCCGAGUGUAGAGGUGAAAUUCGUAGAUAUUCGGAAGAACACCAGUGGCGAAGGCGACUCACUGGACAUGUAUUGACGCUGAGGUGCGAAAGCGUGGGUAGCAAACAGG
rnacentral:rRNA from 1 species